rnacentral:RNase_P_RNA from 2 species
AGCGGUGAUUCCUACGAUUAAGAAACCUGUUUGCAAAAGGGCCCGCUCACGCGGGUCAUCCUAUUUAUCAGGUGGGAAAUUCGGUGGAACACAGUGGAGCCUUGCCUUCCGGGUCAUUGUCUCUGGCAGUGGCCCCUGCUCGUGAGAGAAGAAACUUGCUGGGGAACCAGUCUUUACCGACCGUUGCUAUCAGAAAUUGAACGGGGUCCGGUCCCGCCGGGCCCCGAUGGGAACGGCAACGGUUGUUCCGUUUGACUUGUCGCCUGCCACGGCGCGCUACAAGGUCUGUUGAGUGCAAUCGUAGGACGCCAUUCGUGGCGAACCCGAUACCGAUUACUGCUGCUGCU